rnacentral:rRNA from 1 species
GACGAACGCUGGCGGCGUGCUUAACACAUGCAAGUCGAACGGAAAGGCCUCUUUCGGGGGGUACUCGAGUGGCGAACGGGUGAGUAACACGUGAGUAACCUGCCCUUGACUUUGGGAUAACUUCAGGAAACUGGGGCUAAUACCGGAUAGGAGCUCCUGCUGCAUGGUGGGGGUUGGAAAGUUUCGGCGGUUGGGGAUGGACUCGCGGCUUAUCAGCUUGUUGGUGGGGUAGUGGCUUACCAAGGCUUUGACGGGUAGCCGGCCUGAGAGGGUGACCGGCCACAUUGGGACUGAGAUACGGCCCAGACUCCUACGGGAGGCAGCAGUGGGAAAUAUUGCACAAUGGGUGGAAGCCUGAUGCAGCAACGCCGUGUGCGGGAUGACGGCCUUCGGGUUGUAAACCGCUUUCGCUCAUGACGAAGCUUUGUGUGACGGUAGUGGGUAAAGAAGCACCGGCUAACUACGUG